rnacentral:rRNA from 1 species
AGCGAACGCUGGCGGCAGGCUUAACACAUGCAAGUCGAGCGGGCGUAGCAAUACGUCAGCGGCAGACGGGUGAGUAACGCGUGGGAACAUACCUUUUGGUUCGGAACAACACAGGGAAACUUGUGCUAAUACCGGAUAAGCCCUUACGGGGAAAGAUUUAUCGCCGAAAGAUUGGCCCGCGUCUGAUUAGCUAGUUGGUGAGGUAACGGCUCACCAAGGCGACGAUCAGUAGCUGGCUGAGAGGAUGAUCAGCCACAUUGGGACUGAGACACGGCCCAAACUCCUACGGGAGGCAGCAGUGGGGAAUAUUGGACAAUGGGCGCAAGCCUGAUCCAGCCAUGCCGCGUGAGUGAUGAAGGCCCUAGGGUUGUAAAGCUCUUUUGUGCGGGAAGAUAAUGACGGUACCGCAAGAAUAAGCCCCGGCUAACUUCGUGCCAGCAGCCGCGGUAAC